UCCUAGCCCCGAUUGAAGCUUUGUUUGAGCUCUUUUUUGUUUUUUUCAAACAAAAAAAGCGAGUGCGGAAAGCGGGAAAUAGC
rnacentral:sRNA from 2 species